rnacentral:lncRNA from 1 species
CUUAAAAAGUACUCCUCUCUCUCAAUUACUUUAAUCUUUUAACAAACGUUUUUAGUUUCACAAACAUUAAUAUAUAUUCACUUUUUAAAAUUUCAUUUAAACAUUGACAUUAUGUUCCCCUUCCUCUUGCCCUACAAAAUCAUACUUCAUCUAUAUCUCUACCCCCCCUUGCUGACAUAACAUGAGACUGAUCCGCAAGUUUUCUCAGUUCUUUUUUGUUCUCAUCCCUUGUCCUUUAUCUUCUUUUCUUUUUGCCCUCCUGCAAUAAUCACUUCGCCUUCUGCGAAUAAUUGUUAAAUAUUUUAAAAUAUUAUAAACCAGAG